rnacentral:lncRNA from 1 species
AGAUUCACUUGCCUUUCAGAGCUCCUAGCAAGAGAGAAUGUGUGACCCACAGAUUUCACUCCGAAUAACCAUCAUCCAAGCCAGCAACACUAACAUUUCUGUGUGACCCCCUGGGUAACUGUUUCUGCGCUUCACUCUUCUGCCAAAAGAUAAGUUGCGUUGGGACUAUCAAGUUGUAUUUUAAGGGAACAAAACAGAAGAGUACUACAACUUCCUAAAGCCCAGUCGCUGAAGAAAGCUCCACAGAGAAGGCUAGGAGGUUCUUCGUGGAGAAAUCAGAAAAGCCCUCGAGGAGUGGCCAGAGUAAAGAAACUAAGAUGGGAGGAAGGACUCCCGUUCUCUAUAACAGCAUCUUUCACAGCCUCGCAGCUUCUCUUGCCAGAGCUGCAGAGGCGAAGCGCUUCCAGCGUCGCAGGAGGGGCGGAGGGCUGCCCCGAGUGCGGACCAACUUUCUGACUUUUGGCCAAGUCCUCCCCGCUACUCUGCUCACCCCCAGGUCCUCACCCCCGCGGAAAGCCAGGUGAGCAGCCAAAGCCCAGGACAGCUCCUCCAUCUGCUCCCGUCCUCGUCUCCCCAGGAGGCUCCUUUCCACAGCCCCUGAGCGUCUGCAAGCCGCCGAAGUGAGAAGACACCUCGUCUAAGCCCGUGCAAAACCAAGCUCCCGCCUCCAAGCCAGGUCCCUUCGUCCUGUCCCUCAACCCCGGACUGGAACCUGGGCAGUGGGGAGGCUUGAAGGAAGCGGCUUGAAUCCCACGCUUGGAGAGGAACCGAGCAGGGAGCACCCCACCCGACCUCUCCUCACCUGCUGGUUCGCUCUCUCUUUCGCCUCCCCGCACACACAUCACUACUCACCAAUUCCAGGGCUCGCAGGAAGGCAAGGGGUUCCUUCAGCGCCCGGAAGGUGCCUGCUGAGGCCAGCUGUGGACCAAGGAGGCAAGAGAGAGGAAGACACAGCGUGAAGAAGGGGCUGGGGGAACGUCAUCCGGAGCCCCGGGGUCCCGCAGCAUUACCCGCGCCUCCCAGUCGGUCCUACCUGACUCACGGGGUCCAUAGCUCGUCUUGCUCGGGCUUCUCGCCCAGCGGUGCCUGGGAAAAUGAAGUUCGAGGGCCACCGCUGUCCUUGUCCCUAGGACUAGAAGCCUUCUUUCGGGAAAAGCCGGAGGAGCGAGGCGGGGGAGAGCUGGGUGCCAGAGGCUACUCUCACCCCCUGGAUCCUGGAAUAAGAGUGAUGUGGAGCAGAGCCGCAACUGGAUCUUAACUGACCUGCACCUGAGCAAGAAAUGCAUUUGGAGUUGUAAGCAACUGAGAUGUGAUACAUAUGUGAUGACAGGAGCAGGAGCAGCUACUUUGGAGCCAAAGAUGAAAGUCAUGUCUGGAGGAUGAUAGCGUCAUUUGAGCUAAAGGAACUCAUCCAUCCAACCAUGGUGAGAAGAAAUCCUAGAAACCAGGGAGAGGCAUGGGGUCUCCUUGCCUUUUUCCAUGACUGAGUUCCCACCUGACAGCCAGCACCAACUUGCCAGCCAUGCAUUAACACAUACUAGAAGCAGAUUCUCCAACCCCAUUGAAGCUGCCCCAACUGAUACAACAUGGAACAGACAUAAGCCUUUUCUAUUGAUUGCUGACUUAGCUCAAAGUUUGUGAACUAGAACUAGAAGAAACAAUCCAAAAAUUUAUAUGGAACCACAAAAGACCCAGAAUUGCCACAGCAAUCCUGAGAAACAAAAACCAAGCAGGAGGCAUAACUAUUCUAGACUUCAAGCAAUAUUACAAAGCCACAGUCAUCAAAACAGUGUGGUACUGGUACCAAAACAGACAUACAGACCAAUGGAACAGUAUAGAUAACCCAGAAAGAAACUCAGACACCUAUGGUCAAUUAAUCUUUGAAAAAGGAGGAAAGAGCAUAAAAUGAGAAAAAGAAAGUCUAUUGAGCAAUAAUUGCUGGGAAACCUGGACAGCUGCAUGCAAAGCAGUGAAAUUAGAACACACCCUCACACCAUGCACAAAAAUAAACUCAAAAUGGCUGAAAGACUUAAAUGACAAGACACCAUCAAACUCCUGGAAGAGAACAUAGGCAAAACAUUCUCUCACAUCAAGUUCAUGAUGUGAUGUGCAAAGGAAACCAUAAAGAAAACAAAAAGACAACUUACAGAAUGGGAGAAAAUAGUUUCAAAUAUGCAACUGACAAGGGCUUAAUGUCUAGAAUAUACAAACAACUUAUACAACUCAACACCAAAAAAGCCAAUCAAUCAAUAGAAAAUGGGCAAAAGACCUGAAGAGAUAUUUCUCCAAGGAAGAUAUACAGAUGGCCACCAAGCACAUGAAAAAAUGCUCCAUAUCACUGAUUACUAGAGAAAUGCAAAUCAAAACUACCAUGAGAUACCACCUCACACCAGUCAGAAUGGCCAUCAUUAAUAAGUCCACAAAUAAUAAGUGCUGGAGGGGGUGUGGAGAAAAGGGAACCCUCCUGCACUGCUGGUGGGAAUGUAAGCUGGUAUAAUCACUAUGGAGAACAGUUUGGAGAUACCUUAGAAAUCUAUACAUAGAAGUACCAUAUGACCCCGCAAUCCCACUCUUAGGCAUCUAUCCGGACAAAACUUUCCCGAAAAAGACACAUGCACCCAACAUGUUUAUUGUAGCACUCUUCACAAUAGCCAAGGCAUGGAAACAACCCAAAUGUCCAUCGAGAGAUGAAUGGAUUAGGAAGAUGUGGUAUAUAUACACAAUGGAAUAGUACUCAGCCAUAAAAAAGAACAACUUAAUGCCAUUUGCAGCAACAUGGAUAGAACUAGAGACUCUCAUACUGAGUGAAAUAAGUCAGAAAGACAAAGACAAAUACCAUAUGAUAUCACUUAUAAGUGGAAUCUAAUAUACAGCACAAAUGAACGUUUCCACAGAAAACAAAAUCAUAGACUUGGAGAAUAGACUUGUGGCUGCCCGGGGAGAGAGGGAGGGAGUGGGAGGGACUGGGAGUUUGGGAUUAACGGAUGCAGACUAUUGCUCUUGGAAUGGAUUUACAAUGAGAUCCUGUUGUGUAGCACUGAGAACUAUGUCUAGAUACUUACAUCGCAGCACAACAAUGGGAGGAAAAACUAUGUAUACAUGUAUGUGUAGCUUAGUCCCCAUGCGGGACAGUGGGAAAAAAAA